rnacentral:tRNA from 1 species
GGGCGAGUAGCUCAGUUGGUUAGAGCAUCCGGCUGAUAACCGGAAGGUCAUAGGUUCGAGUCCUAUUUCGCCCA